rnacentral:sRNA from 1 species
GGAUGCAAAAGUCGUAACACGGUUUCCGUAGGUGAACCUGCGGAAGGAUCAUUCACACAUUGCGUCUCAAAGCUGCUUCAUCAGACGGUGACUCAAUUUUUGGGGCUUGGAUGAUGUUUGCUGCUGCGAGGGAACGCUGAAUUGAACCUUAUCAUCUACCGAUCUUUGAAUCUGUUUUGUUUUCCCACCACGACGCAUUUUUGUGAAGAAAAGAAGAGGAAAAAACCUGACUUUGCAAGCAUCAUUGCCACCUUUUGAAGGGAUGGGAUGAUGAUGCAUGCAUGGGAGGGGGAGGGGCGGCGCAUGCACCGCUUGGGGCUUUUUGGGGCUUUGGGGCUGUGGUGGUGGGGCUUGCAUGCUACAUGUGACCCUGGCACUGCUGUCUAUGAUGAGCGUCCAUAGCGCCAGCGUGUGUUAUUGCGUUCGUUGCCUUGUAUUUUAUAUUUAAAAAAAACAAAACUUUCAGCAAUGGAUGUCUUGGCUCACGCAUCGAUGAAGGACGCAGCGAAAUGCGAUACGCAUUGUGAAUUGCAGAUUUCAGUGAACCAUCAGAUUUCUGAACGCACAUGGCGCUGCUGGUAUUUUGCCCGCAGCACGUCUGUUUCAGUGUCUCUUAACAACUCCUACUAGUAGGCCAUGCUGCUGUCUGUCUCUGUUCCUUGUGGUCCUGUGAGGGUUCGGCGAUGCUGCCGACAGAAGUGAGUGCUUUGCUCGCUUCUGUUUUGUGUCGCGGAAUUUUUUCGGGUCACCAAAGGGGAGGUAGGAGCAUGUUUGGUUUCAUUUGAGUGUCGUUGCAUUGGUUUUGAAGGAGAUGCGGCGUCUCUCGAAAUUGUUGUCGGCAGCGGUGCUGUGUGUCUGCACAGUGUGCCGUUUUACAUGCCUGUGCUUUCUAUAGUGUCGUCGUAUGCUCCUUUCAUUCGGAAAGAGAGAGAUACGGUGGUUGUAUUUUAUGCAACGUUGUUUGUCUCGUUCUGGACGAAUGUUUUGAGCAGGGCUAGGGCGAGGUAUAUAAUAGUGCAUGGGUAUGCGACAACGUGAAACGACAUAUAGUACACGGCACCAUGCACGUGUUGCAUGCGUCGUUUUUUCUCGGUAUUACACAUGUAUGUAUAGACCUGAAAUCAGUCGAGGUUACCCGCUGAAUUUAAGCAUAUUAUUAAGCGGAGGA